rnacentral:rRNA from 1 species
GACGAACGCUGGCGGCGUGCCUAAUACAUGCAAGUCGAGCGGACCAAAGGGAGCUUGCUCCUGGAGGUCAGCGGCGAACGGGUGAGUAACACGUGGGCAACCUGCCUGUAAGACUGGGAUAACAUCGAGAAAUCGGUGCUAAUACCGGAUAAUAAAAAGAACUGCAUGGUUCUUUUUGAAAGAUGGUUUCGGCUAUCACUUACAGAUGGGCCCGCGCGCAUUAGCUAGUUGGUGAGGUAACGGCUCACCAAGGCAACGAUGCGUAGCCGACCUGAGAGGGUGAUCGGCCACACUGGGACUGAGACACGGCCCAGACUCCUACGGGAGGCAGCAGUAGGGAAUCUUCCGCAAUGGACGAAAGUCUGACGGAGCAACGCCGCGUGAGUGAUGAAGGUUUUCGGAUCGUAAAACUCUGUUGUUAGGGAAGAACAAGUGCCGUUCGAAAGGGCGGCACCUUGACGGUACCUAACGAGAAAGCCACGGCUAACUACGUGCCAGCAGCCGUACGG